GUCAAUGAAGAACCCAUGGAAACGACUUGAACCCACUUCGAGAAUUAAGUGAAUGUUGGUAGUUAUAAAGAUUAAAUGAGCUGCCUGUGCUUGAUUUCCUCUUCAAGCCUUAACUCAACUAUUCAUAAUGUGCAGACAUGGGUUUCAGGUGAAGGAUGAAACUGAGGACAGUUCCCAUAAAUAGAAUGUGAAAUCAAAGUCAAAGAAAGCUUUUGAGUGCUAAACA
rnacentral:misc_RNA from 1 species